AGGAAAGCUAAACCCUACGCCAGCGCGGGC
rnacentral:sRNA from 1 species